rnacentral:rRNA from 1 species
CGAACCUUCGGGUUAGUGGCGAACGGGUGAGUAACACGUGGGCAACCUGCCUCGAGCUCUGGGAUAACACCGGGAAACCGGUGCUAAUACCGGAUAUGAACAGAGAAGGCAUCUUUUCUGUUGGAAAGUUUUUCGGCUCGAGAUGGGCCCGCGGCCUAUCAGCUUGUUGGUGGGGUAACGGCCUACCAAGGCGACGACGGGUAACCGGCCUGAGAGGGCGACCGGUCACACUGGGACUGAGACACGGCCCAG